GAUGCCCUCCCCCAUGGUGUGAUGCGGCAUGGGCCCUCCCCAGAUGCUGCACCAGGAUCUAGGACUUCCAGUCUCCAGAACUGUAGGCGUCAGAGUUUGAACCCGGGACUUCUGGCUCCAGGUCUUUCCUUGUGAGGACGAUCGUAUGUGUCACGUUGGAGUUUGCAGUCAGUUCAAGACAUGCUCCUGCCAAGGGAUCAACGACACCACAACACUGGCUUUGAUAACCACUUAAACAGCCAGAGAGGGCUCUGGGCCCUUCAUGGGUGUCUGGAUGGACAGGCUGGCCGAGUGUGGAAGGCGCACCUGCCUGAGUGUUGGGUGACGGCACUGUGACCUUUCCGGGCCCACACACCUCUCAGCCUUGGGUGCAGUGACUAUCUAGGAACUGAGAAGGGUUUUGCAGGGAAGGUGGGGACCGCCUCCUAAGUCAGCAAGGAGGGUUCCCCCUCCUCCA